UGGGGAAUAUUGCACAAUGGGCGCAAGCCUGAUGCAGCCAUGCCGCGUGUGUGAAGAAGGCCUUCGGGUUGUAAAGCACUUUCAGCGAGGAGGAAGGUGGUGAGCUUAAUACGCUCAUCAAUUGACGUUACUCGCAGAAGAAGCACCGGCUAACUCCGUGCCAGCAGCCGCGGUAAUACGGAGGGUGCAAAGCGUUUAAAUCGGAAUUACUGGGCGUAAAAGCGCACGCAGGCGGUUUGUUAAGUCAGAUGUGAAAAUCCCCGGGCUCAACCUGGGAACUGCAUUUGAAAACUGGCAAGCUAGAGUCUCGUAGAGGGGGGUAGAAAUUCCAGGUGUAGCGGUGAAAAUGCGUAGAGAUCUGGAGGAAUACCGGUGGCGAAAGGCGGCCCCCUGGACGAAGACUGACGCUCAGGUGCGAAAAGCGUGGGGAGCAAAACAGGAUUAGAUACCCUGGUAGUCCACGCUGUAAAACGAUGUCGAUUCGGAGGUUGUGCCCUUGAGGCGUGGCUUCCGGAGCUAACGCGUUAAAAUCGACCGCCUGGGGAGUACGGCCGCAAGGUUAAAAACUCAAAAGGAAAUUGACGGGGGUCAUA
rnacentral:rRNA from 1 species